CCGUGAUAUUGUUCUAAUAUCCAGGGAGAAAAAGGAUGAUGUUAACAACAAUAUCGCAAAAGUUGUACACAUCCCCUGUGAUAUUGUUUUUAAUAUGCAGGGAGGGAGGAAAUGAUAUUACUCCAAAUAUCGCAGUGGGUGUACACCCCCCCAGGAUAUUGUUCCUAAUAUCCUGGUGGGGGGAGUAUGAUAUUACUCCCAAUAUUGCAGGUGGUGUACAUUCCCCCUGUGAUAUUGUUCCUAAUAUCCAGGAAGAAAGAGGAUGAUAUUACUCCCAAUAUUGCAAGAAGUGUAUGCCCCCCUGUGAUGUUGUUUAUAAUAUCCAAGGGGAAAGAGAAUAAUAUUACUCCCAAUAUGGCAUGGUGUUGACACCCCUCCUGUGAUAUUUUUCUAAUAUCCAAGUGGGAAAAUACAAAAUUUCUCCCAAUAUCGCAGGGAGUGUACACCCCCACUGUGAUGUUUUUUCCUAAUAUCCAGCCGGGGAGAGGAUGAUAUUACACUCAAUAUUGCAGGGUUUGUACACCACCCUGUGAUAUUGUUCCUAAUAUCACGAGGGGGGGACGAUGAUAUUACUCCAAAUAUCGCAGGGGGUAUACAACCCCCGUGAUAUUGUUUCUAAUAUGCAGGAAGGGAGAAGGAUAUUACUCCCAAUAUCACAGAAGGUGUACACCCGGCCUGUGAUAUUGUACCGAAUAUCAAGGGAGGGAGAUGAUGAUAUUACUCUCAAUAUCGCAGUGGGCUGUACACUCCCCUGUAAUAUUGUUCCUAAUAUUCACUGGGAAAGGUGACGAUAUUACACCUUAUAUUGCAGUUAGUGUACACCACCCCUGUGAUACUUUUUCUAAUAUUCAGGGGUGGGGGAGGAUGAUGUUACUCCCAAUAUUGCAGGGGGUGUACACCACCAUUGUAAUAUUGUUUCUAAUAUUUAAGAAGGGAGAGGAUGAUAUUACUCCCAAUAUCGCAGGAAGUAUUCACAUGCCUUGUGAUAUUGUUCCUAAUAUCCAGUGGGGGAGAAAAUAAUGUUACCAUAAAUACCACAGGUGUUGUACACUCCCCCUGUGAUAUUGCUGCUAAUAUCCAGAAAAGGAUAGCACGACAUGACUCCAAAUAUUGCUGGGGGUGUACACUUCCCCCCUUGAUAUUGUUCCUAAUAUUAAAGGGGGAAUAAAAUGAUAUUACUCCCAAUAUCGCAGGGGUAUACACUCCCUCUGUGAUGUUGUUCCUAACAUCCAGAUGAGGGGAGAGGAUGAUAUUACUAUCCAUAUUGCAGGGGGUGUACACCCGCCUUGUGAUAUUGUUCCCAAUAUCCAGGGAAGGAGAUGACAAUAUUACUCCCAAUAUGGCAGAGGGUAUACACUCCCACUGUGAUAUUGUUUCUAAUAUCCAGGAGGAGAGAGGAUUAUAUUACUCCCAAUAUGGCAGGAGGUAUAAACCCCCCCGUGAUAUUGUUUACAAUAUCAAGGGGGGAGAGAUUAUUAUUACUCCUAAUAUUGCAUGGGGGUGUACACCGCCCCUGGAAUAUUGUUCCUAAUAUCCAAAGAGAGAGAUGAUGAUAUUAUUCCCAAUAUCGCAGUAAGUGUACACCAACCCUGUCAUACUCUUCCUAAUAUCCAAUAAGAAAAGGAUGAUGUUACUCCCAAUAUCGAAAGGAGUGUACACACCCCUUGUGAUAGUUUCUAAUAUUUAGGAGGGGAGAUUUUGAUAUUACUCCCAAUAUCGCAGGAACUAUACAUCCAUUCUGUGAUAUUGUUCUUAAUAUCCAAGGGGGAGAAGAUGAUAUUACUCCUAUUAUUGCAGGGAGUGUACUCCCCCCUAUGAUAUUGUUCAUAAUAUCCAUGAAAAAAGAGGAUAAUAUUACUCCCAAUAUCGCAGGGGAUGAACACCACCCUGUGAUAUUGUUCCUAAUAUCCGGGGGGAUGGAGAGUAUGAUAUCACUCCCAAUAUCGCAGGGGGUGUACAUUUCCCCUUUGAUAUUGUUCCUAAUGUCAACGGAGAUAGAGGAGAUUAUUCCCAAUAUUGCAAGGUGUACAUCCCCCUUGUGAUAUUGUUUUUAAUAUUGAGGAAGGAGGAGAAUGCUAUUACUCACAAUAUCGCAGAGGGUGUACAGCCUCCUUGGAUAUUGCCCCUAAUAUCCAAGGUGGGAGAGAAUGAUAUUACUCCCAAUAUUGCAGAGGGUGUACAGCCCCUCUGUAAUAUAGUUCCAAAUAUCCAGGGAAGGAGAGAAUUAUACUACUCCCAAUAUCGCAGGGUGUGUACACCCCUGCUGCGAUAUUGUUCAUAAUAUCAGGGGAAAAAGAAAAUGAUGAUUCCCUUUAUAGCAUGAAAUGUACACAUACCCUGUGAUAUUAUUUCUAACAUCCAGAGAGGAAGAGGAUGAUAUUACCUCCAGUAUCAUAGAAGGUAUACACCCUCCCUGUGAUAUUGUUCCUAAUGUCCAGGAAGGGAGGAGAUGAUAUUAUUACUCCCAAUAUUGCAGGGGUUUUCACUCUCCCUAUGAUAUUGUUCCUAAUAUCCAGAAAGAAAGAGUAUUAUAUUACUCCCAAUAUCGCAGGGGGUGUAUAUUACCCCUGUGAUAUUAUUCCUAAUUUUCAGAGGAACAGAGGAUAAUACUGCUUUCAUUAUCGCAGGGAAUGUACAGCCCCACCCUGUGAUAUUGUUUCUAAUAUUCGGGGGGAGAGGAUGAUAUUACUGCCAAUAUCGUGGGAGGUGUACACCACCCCUGUAAUAUUGUUCCUAACAUCCAUAUAGGAAGAGGAUGACAUUACUCCCAAUAUCGCAGGGGUUGUACACCCACCCUGUGAUAUUGUUCCUAAUAUCCAGGGAGGGAGAGUAUGAUAUUACCCCCAAUAACACAGGGAGUGUACAUUCCCCCUUUGAUAUUAUUCCUAAUAUUCAGUGAAAGAGAGGAUAUUACUCCGAAUAUCACAGGGCAUUGUGAUAUUGUUCUUAAUCACCUCCCCUAUGAUAUUUUUUCUAAUAUCCAGGGAAGGAGAAGAUGCUAUUACUCCCAUUAUUGCAAGUGAAGGAUACACCCAUAUGAUAUUUUUUCUAAUAUUUCGGGGGGGAAAUGAUAUUACUCCUAAUAUCGCAUUGUAUGUACACACCUCUGUGAUAUUGUUUUUAAUAUCCAGGGGAAGAGAGAAUGAUAUUACUCCCAAUAUCACAGAAAGUGUACACCCCCCUGUGCUAUUGUUUGUAAUAUCGAGGCAGAAGAUGACAUUACACUUAAUAAAGUAAACACAUAGUGUAUUCACCCCCCUGUGAUGUGAUUCGUAAUGUCCAGGGAGGAGAAGAGGGUGAUAUUACUCCCCAUAUCGCAGAGGGUGUUCACUCCCCCAGGAUAUGGUUCAUAAUAUCCAAGGGGAGAGAGGAAGGUGAUAUUACUCCCCAUAUCGCGGGGUGUGUACAACCCCCUGUGAUAUGGUUCCUAGUAUACGGGGGCAGGGGGAGGAGGGUGAUAUAACUCCCCAUGUUGCGGGGGAUGUUCACUCCCCUGUGAUACGGUUCAUAAUUUACAGAGAGGGAGAGGAGGGUGGUACUACUCCCCAUGUCGCGGGGAGUGUUCACCCCCCCCCGUGAUUUGGUUCCUAAUAUCCAGGAGGGGAGAGGAGAGUGAUAUUACUCCCCAUAUCGCGGGGGGUGUACACCCGCCUGUCAUAUUGGGAUUGAUAUAGUCCUCUCUUCCCCUGGAUACUACGAGCAAUAGCUAAGGGUGUGUACAUUCUCUGCGAUAUUGGGAGUAAUUUCAUCCUCUCUCCUACCAGAUAUUGCGAACAAUAUCACAGUCGGAUGUACAUUCCCUGCGAUGUCGGGAUUAAUAUCAUCCUCUCGCUUCUUGGAUAUAGUGAAAAAUAUCACAUGAGGGUGUACAUUCCUCGAUAUUGGGAGUAAUAUCUUCCUCCCACAACCUGUAUAUUACAAACAAUAUCACAGAGGGGUGUAUAGCCCCUACAGUAUUGGAAGUAAUAUCAUCCUCUCGCCCCCUGGAUAUUACGAACAAUAACACAAGGGUAUGUACGCCUUCUUCGAUAUUAAGAGUAGUAUCAACAUCUCCCCCCCCCCCCGGAUAUUGUGAACAAUAUUACCAGGAGUAUACACCCCGUGCGAUAUUGGAAAUAUUACCUCUCUCCUUCUGGAUAUUAUGAACAAUAGCACAAGGUGGUGUACACGUAGGGUGUUUAUGAUAUUGGGAGUGAUAUCACCUCCUCCCUGCCUUGGUUAUUAGGAACAACACCACAGGGGGCUGUACCCCCCUGUGAUAUUGGGAGUAAUAUCAUUCUCCCCCCUCUGUAUAUUACAAACAAUAUCAAAGGGGCGUUUACGCCCUCCCACGAAAUUUUGGGUAAUGUUUUCUUCUCAUCCCCUGGGUAUUACGAACAAUAUCACAAGGGUGUGUGCACCCCCUGCGAUAUUGAGAAUAAUAACAUUCUCUCGCCCCCUGGAUACUGCGACCUAUAUCGCAGGGGAGUGUGCACCCUUUGCAAUAUUGGGUGUAAUAUCCUCUCAACCCCUGGAAAUUGCGAACAAUAUUGCAGAAAGGUGUGCACCCCCUGCGAUAUUGGGAGCAAUAUCAUUUUAUCGACCCCUGGAUAUUGCAAAUAAUAUCACAUGAGUGUGUGCAGCCCCUGCGAUAUCGAGAGUAAUAUCAUCCUCUCGCCCACUGGAUAUGGCGAACAAUAUCACAGGAGGGUGUGCACCACCUACGAUAUUGAAAGUAAUAUCCUCUCGCCCCCUGAAUAUUGCGAACAUUAUUACAGGGGGGUGUGUACUCCCUGCAAUGUUAAAAGUAACAUCAUCCUCUUGCUCCUGGAUGUUACGAACAAUAUCACAGGUAGUGUGCACCCCCUGCAAUAUUGGGAGUAAUAUCAUCCUCUUGCCUCCUGAAUAUUACGAAAAAUACCACAGGUGUUUGUGCACUCCCUGAGAUAUUGGAAGUAAUAUUAUCCUCUCGCCCCCUGGAUAUUGCAAACAAUAUGACAGGGGAGUGUGCACCACUGUGGUAUAGGAAGUAAUGUCAUCCUCUCGCCCCCUGGAUAUUGUGCACAAUAUCACGGGGGGGUGGUGCAUCCCCUGCAGUAUUGGGAGUAAUGUCAUCCUCUCGCCCCCUGGAUAUUGCAAAUAUCACAGGUUGGUGUACACACUUUGCAAUAUUGGGAGUAAUAUCAUCCUCUCGCUCCCUGGAUAUUGCAAUCAAUAUCACAGCGGGGUGUACAACCCCUGUGAUAUUAGGAGUAAUAUCAUCCUCUUGCCUCCUCGAUAUUGCGAACAAUAACACAGCGGAGUGUGCACUCCCUGUGAUAUAGGAAGUAAUAUUAUCCUCUUGCAAUCUGGAUAUUGCAAACAAUAUUAAAGAAAAGUGUGCACACCCUGCGAUAUUGUGAAUAAUAUCACAUGGUGUACACACGUUGGGUGCACCCACUGUGCUAUUAGGAGUAAUAUCUAUCUUCCUAGGAUAUUACGAAUAAUAUCCCUUGGUAUACACCCACUGUGCUAUUAAGAGUAAUAUCACCCUAGGAUAUUACUAAUAAUAUCACAGGGUGUACAAAUAUAGUGUACACCCAUGGUGGUAUUAGGAUUAAUAUCUCCCUAGGAUAUUAGGAAUAAUAUCACAGGGUUUACACCUACUGUGAUAUUAGGAGUGAUAUCUCAGAAGGAUAUGACAAAUAAUAUCACAGAGUGUACACCCAUUGUGAUAUUAGGAAUAAUAUCUUUCUAGGUUAUUAUGAAUAAUAUCACAAGGGGUACACCCACUGUGAUAUUAGGAGCAAUAUAUUUCUAGGAUAUAACGUAUAAUAUCACAUGGUGUACACCCACUAUGAUAUUAGCAGUAAUAUAGCCCUAGGAUAUUAUGAAUAAUAUCACCGCGUGUACAACCACUGCCAUAUUAGGAGUAAUAUCUUACUAGAAUAUUACAAAUGUUACAUAAUAGGGUGUACACCCCCUGUGAUAUUAAAAGUAAUAUCUCCCUAAAAUAUUAAGAAUAAUAUCAGAGGGUGUGCACCUUCUGUGAUAUUAAGAGUAAUAUCUCUCUUGAUCAUUAUGAAUAAUAUCAUAGGGUGUGCACUCACUGUGAUAUUAGCGUUAAUAUCUCUCUAGGAUAUUACAAAUAACAUUACAGGAUGUGCACCCACUAUAAUAUUAGGUGUAAUAACUCCAUAGGAUAUUAUAAAUAAUAUCACAGUGUGUACACACAUUGUGUGCACUCACUCUGAUAUUAAAAGAAGUAUCUCCCUAGGAUAUUACCAAUAUGGUAAUAAUGGUGUGCACACGCUGAGAUAUUAGGAGCAAUAUCUCUCUAGAAUGUGACAAAUAAUAUCACAGGGUGUACACACACGGUAUGCACUCACUGUGAUAUUAGGAGUAAUAACUCCCUACGAUAUUAUGAAUAAUAUCACAGGGUGUACACACGUUGUGCGGACUCACUCUGAUAUUAAAAGAAAUAUCUCCCUAGGAUAUUACCAGUAAUAUCACAGGUUGUACUCACAUGGUGUGCACACUUAUAUUAGGAGUAAUAUCUCCCUAGGAUAUUACGAAUAAUAUCACAAGGUGUACACACAUGGUGUGCACCAACUGUGAUAUUAGAAGUAAUAUCUUCCUAGUAUAUUAGGAAUAAUGUCACAGGGUGUGCACCCACUGUGAUAUUAGGAGUAGUAUCUUCCUAGGAUAUAACAAAUAAUAUCACAGAAUGUGCACUCACUGUGAUAUUAGGAGUAAUAUCUACCUAUGAUGUUACAAAUAAUAUCGCACGGUGUGCACCCACUGUGAUAUUAGUCAUAAUAUCUCCCUAGGGUAUUACAAAUAAUACCACAGGGUGUGCACCCACUGUGAUAUUAGGAGUAAUAUCUCCCUAAGAUAUUACAAAUAAUAUCACAGGGUUUGCACCCUGUGUGAUAUUAGAAGUAAUAUCUUUCUACGAUAUUAAGAAUAAUAUCAAGGUGUGCAAGCACUCUGAUAUUAGAAGUAAUAUCUUUCUAAGACAUUUCAAAUAGUAUCACAUAGUGUGCACCCACUGUGAUAUUAGGAGUAAUAUCACAUAAUGCAACCUCUACCUCUUGGGCUCAAGCAAUCCUCCUGCUUCAGCCUCCCAAGUAGCUGGGACUACAGGCACAGACCACCAUGCCCAGCUAUUUUUUUUUAUUUUUUGUAGAGAUGGGGGUCUUGCUAUGUUGCCCAGGCUGGCCUCGAACUCCUGGACUCAAGCAAUCCUCCUGCCUCAGCCUCCCCAAGUGUUGGAGUUACAAGCAUGAACCACUGUUCCCGGCCACGCAGCAUCUUUUGAAGGUGCUUCCUGUGUGCUGGAAGUUUCCCAUUCAUGUUGUGAGUCCACUUCCCUUUCCCGGGGUCACAUAACACAGACCUGUGAUGUGGGCUCUACCAAUCAGAUGCUCUUUUAUUGGACUGGGGCUCAGGCGGUUCUGACCCCGGAAGGGAAACUUGCUUUGUCUGGGGUGGAGACAGCAAACAUGUUGAUAAGGCACCAGCAGUGGCUACCUUGUGAGUCUGGGGCCCAAAAGAGACAGUGGUGCUAACUGUGGAGUCUGGUGCCCAGUGGCCCUGGCAGGCGUGUCCUCACAGGCCAGGCUUGCAGUGUGGUUUCGACAUUGUUUCCGGAAGCUGAGCCUCAAGGUGAGUCCUCCUGCCUUCCCAGCCAAUCUUCCCAGUAGCCUUGUCACAAAUUCCUUUCUGCUUUAUCUGCCCGACUCAGUGUCUGUUGCUUGUAAUUAAGACUGCUAAAUGAGGCCAGGUGUGGUGGCUCACGCCCAUAAUCCUAGCGCUUUGGGAGGCUGAGGCAGGUGGACCACCUGAGGUCAGGAGUUCAAGACCAGACUGACCAACAUGGCGAAACCCCAUCUCUACCAAAAAUACAAAAAUUAACCAGGCAUGGUGGCACAUGCCUGUAAUCCCAGCUACUAUUCAGGAGGCUAAGGCAGGAGAGUUGCUUGAACCUGGGAGGCAGAGGUUGCAGUGAGCCGAGAUUGCUCCACUUCACUGCAACCUGGGUGAAAGAGCAAAACUCUGUCUCAAAAAACAACAACAAAAAGACUGCUAAAUGGCAUAUCCACAUUUGAGUGUGGGGAAGAAAUGAAAAUUACACAGACUAUGAGGCAGAGGUUCACAAGCAUGAACAUUAACACCCCUAUAUAAGAGAUUGAGGCCAGGCGUGGUGGUUCACACCUCUAAUCCUAGCACUUUGGGAGAUGGAGGCAGGUGGAUCACUUGAGCCCCGGAGUCCAAGACCAGCCUGGGCAACAUAGUGAGAUCCUAUCUCUACAAAAAUUUCAAAAAUUAGCUGGGCCUGGUAGCACAUGCCAGUAGUCCCAGCUACUUGGGAGGCUGAGGUGAGAGGAUUGCUUGAGCCUGGGAGGUGGAGGUUACAGUGAACAGAGGUUGCACCACUGCACUCCAGCCUGGGCAACAGAGUCAGACUCUGUCCAAAAGAGAUUGAGACCAGCUGUAGAGGCAGGAGGAUUGCUUGAGGCCAGGAUUUUGAGACCAAAAAAGAUUGAGACCAGCUGUAUAGGCAGGAGGAUUGCUUGAGGCCAGGAUUUUGAGACCAGCCUGGGGUCUUUUGUAGAGACCCGCAUCUCUACAAAAAACAUUAAAAAUUAGCUAGGUGUGGUGGCUUAUGCCUAUAAGUCCCAGCUACUUAGGAGGCUGAAGAGGGAGGGUUGUUCAAGCCCAGGAGGUUGAGGCUGCUAUGAGCUCAUGAUUGUGCCACUGCACUCCAGCCUGGGUGACAUAACGAGAAAGAAAGAAAAGAAAAGCUUAGAAGGAGUAAAUGAAGUAGAUUAGAAUAUUACAAAGCAGAAACAAAGAAAAAAGUAAAAGUGUAAGACAGUCCAGGGAUUAGUUUUUAAUUAAUGGUUUAAAGGGAAUGGAAUGUUUUUUUAAAAAAAAUGAAGUAGAAAAAUUAUUCAGUGAGUAGUUUGGAAAUUAUCAUUAGAAAAAUAGUAAAAUUACAGGUGCAGUGGCUCACACCUAUAAUUCUAGCACUUUGGGAGGUCUAGGUGGGCCGAUCACUAGAGCCCAGGAGUUCAAGACCAGCCCAGGCAUCAUGGUGAAACACAUACUCUACAAGACAUACCAAAAUUAGCCAGGCGUGGUGGCAUGUGCCUGUAGUCCCAGCUACAUAGAAGGCUGAGGUGGGAGGAUCACCUGAGCCCGGGAGGUCAAGGCUGCAGUGAGCUGUGAUCGUGCCACUGUACUCCAGCCUGGGUGACAGAGUGAGACUCUGUCUCCACAAGAAAAGAAAAGCAAAGAAAAGAAAAGAAAAACAGUAAAAGUCAUUGUUGUAGCCUCUAGCUGUUUUUCAUUAGAUUAUGUGUAAUUUCAGGCAAUAACGUAUAUGGUCCUGCAAAAAACAAAUGCAUAGUGGCCAUAGUUUUAAAGUGCUUCCACCUUUAUCACUCUCUGAAUUUAACAACAGUCUCAAUGCUGAUAUAGUCUGAAAUAGCCCCACAAUUGCCACUGAAAGCAGAGGGGCUAGAAAUGAUGAAAGAGGAACUAUUUUAUGACUUCAUAUUCUACUUUAGUCACAUUCAAAAGAAAAGCAGGCAUAGGGAUUUCUGUUAAAAUUCCUACCCAGGUGGAAGUAAAAUUUUCAGAAACCAGGAGAGGCAACUUACAAAAAAAGCAUCUUGAAGAAUUAUUAGAAAAUGUCAGAAUGGAUCAUUUCAUUAGAGGAAGGAAAGUCAAUGAUAGGUGUGUUAUAUUUUUAAAAAUCACAAGAAAUAUAAUCAUUGGUAAUUAAGGACACGAUGAGAACUGCAUAAUUUAAAUGGUAGUAUGACGCUGGGAGCAGUGGCUCACACCUGUAAUCCCAGCACUUUGGGAGGCCAAGGAGGGAGGAUCACCUGAGGUCAGGAGUUCAAGGCCAGCCUGGCUCACAUGGUGAAAACCCGUCUCUACUAAAAAUACAAAAAUUAGCCGGGUAUGAUGGCACACACCUGUGGUCUCAACUGCUUAGGAGGCUGAGGCAGGAGAAUCACUUGAACCCGGGAGGCAGAGGUUGCAGUGAGCUGAGAUUACGCCACUGCACUCCAGCCUGGGCCACAGAGUGAGACUCCAUCUCAAUAAAAAAAUAAAUAAAUAAAUAAAUAAAAUGGUUGUAGGAGAUGUGAGAAUGAGGACCAAGUCAAAAUAGAAUGUCAUCAAAAUAGAAUGUCACAGACACACACACACACGAUCCCUGCCUAGCUAUCCGUAGGCAGGUAGAGAUUGGGGGGUAGAUGCUCCUCUGCACUGGCCCAGAGAGUGAUGGACUCACAGACUCAAAAGCCAUGAUGAUGAGUUGGGGUCUCCCUGCCCCCACCUAGUCCACUGGUGUCAUGGACUAGUCCCCCCACCCCCCAAAUAUACCUGGAGAAUGGCAGCUCUCUCCUCAGCCAAGUUCAAGGACUUGGUUAGGGAACAGAGGUCAGGUCCACCCUGGGAAAGCUAGACUUCCUCUAAUCCUGGCUCUUUUGGGCCCAGAAGGUUCUGCUCUUUGGGGUGAUGCCAAACAUGCCUCCAGCAUAAAAGACUGCAGUUACAGCUGACACACACAGAAGCAGGAAGGGGGGGUUCUAUCCUGUGCACUCUGUCUUUCCUUCCUGGUAAGAAAGUGGUCUUUUAUCAUAAAAUAUGUCAUUCCAAUUAUGCCAUGAAAUGGGGUUAAAUAUCAGCAAGGCGAUGGUUUGCUUCUCUGGUGGAUGUUAAAUUUUUUUUUUUUUUUUUUUUUUGAGAGGGAGUCUCACUCUGUUGCCCAGGCUGGAGCACAGUGGUGUGAUCUUGGCUUACUGCUACCUUUACCUCCCAAGUUCAAGCGAUUCUCCUGCCUUAGCCUACCAAGUAGCUGGAGCUACAUGCCUGGCUAAUUUCUGUAUUUUUAGUAGAGAUGGGGUUUGCCAUGUUGUCCAGGCUGGUCUCAAACUCCUGACCUCAAGUGAUCAGCCCGUCUUUGCCUCCAAAACUGCUGGGAUUACAGGCUACAUGUUCGACUUUGAUCCCAGAUCAGCAGCUCUGCUCAAUGCCAAGAGGGUGCUGGGCCCCGUGGGGACAGACGGGGGGAAGAAGUUUCGCAGGGACAGGAGGACCCAGGCAGAGACUGAAGAGGGGAAAACCCAAACAGAAAAACUUUAGGACACCCGCUGCAGCUGCAUGUGUAAACCUGAAAGUUGAAGUGAUGGGGAAGAUGUAGAAUUGCUUUGGCCUUUUCUCUGGGUCCUGCUGGUCUGUGGUCUGCCGAUGGUAACCUCUCCUCACCUUCCAGCCCAACUGGGAUGUAUCUUUCAGACGCUGCAGGGCUUGGCGGAAGAUCUGAGCCAUUUGCCUGGACGUUCUCCAUGCUAUUGUGAUCGGCCUCAUCUGUCUGAAACCUUGCUGACCCCGGCUUAUCUGGUGUUGGACCAAAUGACCCUGGAGUCUCUGCAUCUUCUUCAGGGUGACCUGUGCAUGUCUGCUAUCCCUGCCCCUGCCAGCCGUAGGCUGACCUCCACCUGACCCUCAACUGCAUGGGCCCUGAUGAGUCACAGGCUCCCUUCACAGAAGGAAGGUGGAAAAAGCUCACGUGAACGUUGCUUUCCUGUCCUUGGACUUCUGACAUCCCUCGGGCCAGCCCUCAGCAGUGAGCCAACCCGCAAGUCCUGCUCAGGAUCCAGUGGGAAGGCAGCUGUCCUCUUGGAUGAUCCUGGCACCAUAUUGGAAGGAGUCCAUCUGUGGAGGCCAUCAGAGAUUUGAUCACCUCAGCUGUUGUUCAGCUCCUCCGGGGACUGGGGGAAUUUUCGUGCCAUUGGUGUUGACAAUGACAUAAUCCUAGCUCUAAGUCGUCUAAGUGUGUUUCUCCACAGAUACACAUCAAGUACUAGGUGGUGCCAUUCUGUCCCACACAACUGUACAAUAAGUCUUCUCAAAGGCUGAGAAGACUCACCAUACAGAGCUUCAUUCCUUGAAACCCUAAGCUGGAACCCUGAAACCUUAUUUUUUCUUUCAGCUACCAUAAGGCUGAAAUUAACCAUAGCCUUCCCAAGGAUUGGUUUCUUCUCAAAGAGUUUUAACUUAUAAAUAGGACCAAAGAUUUUAAAAAUACAAAUGUUUGUCAUUAAAUGAAGUCAUGCAAGUGAAAGUGCCUAGAAUAGUACUUGGCUCAUAGCUGGUACAUGGGAAAGUCUUGUUUUCCACCUCCAUGUACUCCAGACGCAGCUUAGAAAAUCAGGUAACUUGGCCGGGCUCGGUGGCUCAUGCCUAUAAUCCCAGCACUUUGGGAGGCUGAGGCAGGCGGAUCACGAGGUCAGGAGUUUGAGACCAGCCUGGUCAACAUAGCGAAACCCCAUCUCUAUCAAAAAACAAAAAAUUAGCUGGGCGUGGUGGCGGGCACCUGUAAUCCCAGCUACUUGGGAGGCUGAGGUGGGAGGAUCGCUUGAUCCUGGGAGGCAAAGGUUGGAGUAACCUAUGAUCACACCACUGCACUCCAGCCUAGGUGACAGAGUGAGACCCUGUCUCAAAAAAAAAAGGCAGAGCUGAAUAAGACCGUUACUGUCACAGGGCUUUCUUCAAUAAAUGCUAGUCACUAUUUUGUUUGUUUGUUUGUUUGUUUGUUUUUGAGACGGAGUCUGGCUCUGUGACCCAGGCUGGAGUGUAGUGGCAUGAUCUCAGCUCACUGCAACCUCCACCUCCCAGGUUCAAGUGAUUCUCCUGCCUCAGCCUCCUGAGUAGCUGGGAUUACAGGUGCCCACCACCACACCUGGCUAAUUUCUGUAUUUUUAGUAGAGACAAGGUUUCGCUAUGUUGGCCAGGCUGGUCUUGAAAUCCUAACCUGAAGUGAUCCUCCUGCCUCGGCCUCCCAAAGUGCUGGGAUUUCAGGUGUGGGCCACUGUUCCGGCACUUUUUUUUUUUUUUUUUUUUUUUUUGAGGCAGGGUCUCGCUCUGCCACCCAGUGGCAGUGACUGGAGGGCAGUGACUGGACAUGGCUCACUACUACAGUCUCUAUCUCCUGGGCUCAAGCAAUCCUCCUGCCUCAGCCUCCCAAGUAGCUGGGACCACAGGCAUGUACCACCACGCCCAGCUAAGCCACUAUUAUUAAUAAAUGUUUGCCUUAGAACAAAAUUGACUACAUUAUACCUCAAUGUCUGAUCACUCUUCCUACAUUUUCACUUUUUUUCCAUCACUCUUCUGAUCAAAAUCUCCUAGAAGCUGGGCAUGGUGGUACGCACUUGUGGCCCCAGCUACCUGGAGGCUGAGGCAGAAGGAUUCCUUGAGCUCAGGAGUUCAAGACCAGCCUGGGCAACAUAGCGAGACCCUGUCUCAUAAUGAAUGAAUUAAUUAAUUAAAAAAUCUUCCAGGGUCCUGCUCCAUGUGGAUAAAACCCCAACUCCUUAGCUUAAGUAGAACUUUUUUUUCCUUUUAAAGCUAGAAGGAGCUUUAUUGAUAAUUUAUUUUCUUAUUUCAUUUUUUAGAUUUGCCUUGGCAUAUAGACCUUUGAAAAAAUAUAUAUAUAGUUGUAAUUAUUAAUAGUUUUGGGGGUACAAGUGGUUUUUGGUUACAUGGAUGAAUUGUAUAGUGGUGAAGUCUAAGAGGAUUUAUUUUAUCUCUGUUUAAAAAGCACAUUUAGGAUUGUUUGAAUGUUUCUUUCAACACUAUUUUUGUAAAGCUUAUUUUGUAAUUACUAGCCAGUCACAAGAAAAUGAAUCCAUCAGAAUGAACUUCUUAGCAGCUCUGAAAACCUACCGAUAAUCCAGUGGCACCCAGUCCCGGCUGCACAUUAAAAUCACCUCGGGCCUUUAAAAACACACCAGCGCCUGGGCCCAACCCCCAGAAAUUCCAAUCUAAUUGGUCUGGGGCGUGGCUGAACACUGGGAUUUUUUUUUUUUUUUUUUUAAAGCUCCCAGGUGAGUCAAAUGUGCAGCCAGCGUUGAGUGGCACUGUUGUCACCUCUGUUUCUUCACACCUGAGCCUUCGUCUGUCGGCUCAUCUGCAGCCACACAGUUCUCAGGUUCUUCCUCCUGGGCCCCAUUUGUCUGGGAUAGGCCGAACUCACCCCAGUUCCUGCCCUGGAGCAAUUAUACAGACGUACCUUCUAAAGCAAACAAGCCUUGUCUUCAAAUCAGGCCACAAACACACCUUGACCCGCCCUCAUAACUUCCUGGAUUCUUGAUCCGGUUUAUGGUUUACUGAUAACAUCCUGGAUAGAGAACCAGUUUCAGACUUUCGGUGACCUAGUCACCCCUUGGCUGGGGCUGGAAUUUCAUGUUGUCUGGGCUCCUUGAUGGUCCCAGAAUGGUGGUGAUUAUUUUUCUUUGGUCCUUGGUGCUGCAUCCCCUGAGUGCCAGCUUGAUAGGUUCUAGUUUCUUAGCUUUUGCAAACUGGAGCUUUCAUUUUGCAGUUCUAAACUGCCUCGCCCCCACCAGCCCCCAACCUCAGCCACUGGAGCCUUACAGGUCACCAGCUUCCGCUUACUCUUCUGAUAAAGGACUAGGUGAUGAACUGAACAUUGAAAAACAAGGAAGAGAGAAAUUUGGAAUAAGUUAAUCUAGGGAAAGGGGGGGCAGUCUUUUGGGUUGAUCCAACACAAUUUACCUUUCCUUUCCUUUUCUUUUUUUUAAUAGGGACAGGGUCUUGCUAUGUUGCCCAGGCUGGUCUCAAACUCCUGGACUCAAGUGAUCCUCCCACCUCAUCCUCCCAAAGUGCUGAGAUUACAGACAUGAGCCACAGUACCUGGCCACAAUUUACCUUCUCUUUGGUGUCUUAGGAACCUGAGGAUAAUGCAUGGGGUAUUCCAGUAGACUGUGCAAAACCCACCAUCUUCCCAUUUUGAUAUCAUGGUUUCUGCUACUCAUCUAUUCCUGCCUCCUUUUUUGCUUUCCCCUAUUUUAUCACAUGUGGCACAAGAAACCCAAAUAGAAAAGCACAAUUACUUCUAUAGUCAGAGCAAGAAUGAGAUUUCAGAAUCAAAGGAACCAUGUUGGACUACGGAGUAGGCAAGAGUUACAGGUGACAAGGAUUCAACAUGUAUACAGUUCCCUAAUACAAGGCUUGCACCACUUGUCUGGGAAGGCCAUGCUCUUAAUGAAUGUCCCUGCAGUAGACUUGAGACUCAUCAUCUUGUCCCUCCUUGCCUUGAGUCAUGCCAGUGUAACAGACUCGCAGGACACAGCCACAAGUCCCAUUGUAGAAGCAGGUGCUACCUCUCACAUCAGCUCACUACAUCCCUUCUGCAGUUGUCAGCUGAGAGCCACCGAGUUCACAGUCUGUUCAGGGGAACUCAAGACAUUAAAAUCAACUAAAAGAUGCAUCAAGAAUGAGGGAAUCCGGUUGGGUGCAGCGGCUCCCACCUAUAAUCUUAGCACUUUGGGAGGCCAAGGCGGGCAGAUCAUAUGAGGUCAGAAGUUUGAGACCAGCCUGGCCAACAUGGUGAAACCCCAUCUCUACUAAAAAUACAAAAAAUUAGCCCAGCAUGGUGGUGUGCACCUGUAAUUGCAGCUACUGGGGAGGCUGAGGCACAAGAAUCACUUGAACCCAGGAAGCGGAGGUUGCAGUGAGCUGAGAUCGCACCAUUGCACUCUAGCCUGGGUGACAGAGCGAGACUGUUUCAAAAAAAAAAAAAAGAAUGAGGAAAUCUACACUAAGGAAUGAGAACUGUGGGCAAUUUACUCUAUAAUUAAAGUUACUUAUAUAAGUCAGAACAAUAAAUAAUAUAGGGUAAUUCUCUACAUCUUGGUGAAACCUUUGGUAAAUUUCUUUGUGGAGUUCCCUUAUUUCCAUUUUUUGUUGUUUGUUUGUUUGUUUUGAGGCAGGGUCUCACUCUGUCACCCAGGCUGGAGUAGUAGUGCGAUUGUGGCUCACUGCAGCCUCAACUUCCUGGGCUCAAGGCUCCCUCUUCAGCCUCCUAAGUAACUGGGACCACAAGCACAUGCCACCACGCCCAGCUAAUUUAUUAUUAUUAUUAUUAUUAUUAUUAUUAUUAUCUGUAGAUAUGGGGUUGCACUAUGGCUGCCUAGGCUGGUCUUGAACUCCUGGGCUCAAACAAUCCUCGCCUCAGCCUCCCAAAGUGUUGGAUUACAGGCGUGAGCCACCGUGCCCAGCCUGGAGUUUUCUGUUUCUCAUGGUUUAUCUCAGCAUCAGCAUCCCAUUCUAGUCUGCAAUGGAAAAGUCAUUUCCUUACAGCAUGAGCCUUACUGCUAAUUCCAAAAAUUUCAUGUUCACAGUUAGCAAUCACUCAACCUUCAGACAGUACUAAAACAUUUUAUUUGAUUAUUUUUAAAAAGCACCAGAAAAAAAGUGUUGAUUACAGAAAAUUGGGAAAAUAUGAAAAGUAUAAUAAAAAAGUAAAAUGAGCCAUAAUCUUCCCACUCACAUAUAACAGUGUGAAUUGUUUCUUUCUAGUUUUUCUUUUUCUUAUACUGUAUAUAUAUUCAUAUACAUGCAUUGUUUGACAAAAAAUUAGAUCACACUGUAAACUGCUUCUUAAAGUUACUUUUUAAAAUGAGUUUUGGCUAGGCACGGUAACUCACACCUGUAAUCCCAGUACUUUGGGAGGCCGAGGCGGGCAGAUCACAAGGUCAGGAGUUCAAGACCAGCCUGGCCAACAUGGUGAAACCCUGUCUACUAAAAAUAUAAAAAUUAGAUGGGCGUGGUACCAGGUGCCUGUAAUCCCAGCUACUGGGGAGGCUGAGGCAGGAAAUUGCUUAAACCGGGAGGCAGAGGUUUCAGUGAGCCGAGAUUGCACCACUGCACUCCAGCCUGGGCGACAGAGCAAGACUCUGUCAUGGAAAAUAAAUAAAUAAGUUUUAAGGUACAAAAACAUGAGUUUAAAGGACUGCAUUUAUUCAUUAGAAGGGCAUGCAACAUAAAACAAAAGGACUGUACUUAAUGACUGCAUCCCAUUGUUAAAAAAUUUAAUAUAUUACAUAUAUGUCACAGUUUAUUUCCCUACUGUUGAAAAUUUAAACUAUUUUCAAUUUUCAAAUGUUAUAAAAAAAACCCAGUCAACUAUCCAUAAUUAUAAAUGUUUAGGAACUUCCUUAAUUAUUUCCUUAGGAUAAAUUUCCUGAAAAUGGAAUUACUGGCUCAAAGUUAUAAAUAUGUUUAAGACUCUUGAAAUGCACAUUCAAGUUGCUCUCCAGACAAGUUGCACAAGGCUGGGAAUGGUGGCUCAUGCCUGUCAUCCCAGCAGUUUGGGAACCCAAGGUAGGAGGAUCACCUGAGGUCAGGAGUUUGAGACCAGCCUGGCCAACAGUGGUGAAGCCCCAUCUCUACUAAAAAUACAAAAAUUAGCCGGGUGUGGUGGUGGGCACCUGUAAUCCCAGCUACUCAGGAGGCUGAGGCAGGAGAAUCGCUUAAACCCGGGAGAUGGAGGUUGCAGUGAGUUGAGAUUGUGCCGCUGCACUCUUGCCUGGGCGGCAGAGCGAGACUCCAUCUCAAAAAAAAAAAAAAAAAAAAAGAAAGAAAAAUGAAAAGUUGCACCAAUAUAUAUUUCUACCACAAAUAUCUGAAAGUUUGUUGUUCACAGGGCCUGUGCCUGUGUGGUUUUAGCAGUUAAAGCUCCACAUUUCACAAGAGUCCUCUGCAGGACAUGAGAAGUCCCAGUUUUUAGCAAUGAAUGUGGAAGACUGAGGUCAAGUACAAAACUUGCAUGGCAAUCAAAAAAUUGGGGUUGAAAGCAACACUGGUUUCGGUGUCAAGCGGUUAGUGCACAGACUGUCCACCUUCCAUGGUCAUUGGCCACUGAUACUGAUUUGCAGUUCCCAGUAAUAGACAUUAUUAUUAGGGACAAGGGCUGCUAUAAUUCUUGCUGGGCAUGAUAGGACUUCAGUGCACAACUCACAUGCUUUGUUACUGUGAGCAUGGACAGUCUGGCUCUGCCUUUGCCUGUGGAGUAACUGUUGUGCUUUGUUUGUAUUGAGAUAGUGUAGUUUAAUCUUUAACACUGUGACUAUUACGAUCAGGUUUUCUAAGAGUUCAGAUUACAAUACCAAUGCCAGCAUGACCCAGUAGUCACUGAAAAGGAAGGCUAAACAACUGUGUCAUUUUAAUGACAGUUGGAAGGACAGGGUGCCUGAUUAAGGAGGCAAAUAGCAGAAACAGCACAUACUUGAUGGGUGGGGUGUGGUAGACAGGAGAAUAAGGCACAUAUGGAGCAGAUUCUCACAAGUCUGGGGUUAGACAGGCAAGACUUUCUCAAUCAAAAGGUUUUUUGGGUUUUUGUUUGUUUGUUUUUGAGACAGGGUCUUACUCUGUCACCCAGGCUGGAGUGCAGUAGUGUGAUCAUGGCUCACUGCAGCCUCAAACUCCUGGGUUCAAGCAAUCCUCCUUCCUCAGCCUCCUGGUAGCUGGGACUACAGGUGCACACUACUGCACCCCACUAAUACUUUUUAUUUUUUGUAGAAACAGUCUUGCUAUGUUGCCCAGGUUGGUCUUGCACCAAGGAUCCCUUGGCCUCCUGCCUCAGCUUCACCUGGCCAGAAGUUUUUCUGUUUCUUCAAAAGACACCAAAAAGGCUGGGUGUGGUGGCUCACACCUGUAAUCCCAGCACUUUGAGAGGCAAACGUGAGAUCACUUGAGGCUAAGAGUUUGAGACCAGCCUGGGUAACAUAGCAAGUCCCUAUUGCUACAAAAAAUAAACCUAUUAGCCAGGCGGGGUGGUGCGCACCUGUCUCAGCUGCAGGGAGGCUGAGGAAGUAGGAUCACUUGAGGAAGUAGGAUCACUUGAGCCCAGGAGUUCAAGGCUGCAAUGAGCCCUAAUGGCACCACUGCACUCUGGCCUGGGUGACAGAGUGAGACUCCAUCUAAAAAAAAAAAAAAAGAAUUGGCUUGAGCAUACCACGCUAAAGAACACACAUUAUCAUAUCGUUCCCUUGAUUGCUCUAUGAAACACCAGUAUUUCAAAGAAUGGGUUAGAUCACACCAACAACAGUCACCAUGAAGGGAACCAGAACAUGCCACGUUGGCAUAUUGACUCUUUUGAGAUGAAGGCAAUUGAGAAAUAGCAGAUGUGGGAAGAGCUCUCUGUCCUCCCACCUGUCUAAAAAUAAGGCAUAUAUUUCCCCUCAAAACAGGUAACUCUCUCCUUGCCCCAGAACAGAAGAGCGUUUUGAUAACUGGAUACAGGGAGAAGACAUUGAGACCAGUUUGCAUAAACACACCUUACUCAUGAAACCCUUAUCUUCCAUUAGUUCUCCCAUAUAUUUUUGUUGUUGUUGUUUGAAACAGAGUCUCGCUG
rnacentral:lncRNA from 1 species